rnacentral:lncRNA from 1 species
CUGGUCUGAUAGAGGUCUGAUAGAUUCAGCGCGGUGUCCCGAAGUGAGGUUAGGUUAGGGUGUGGUGUAUGUUUCCUGGGACUUUGUGAUCUUAUCUUAGAUCUUUUCUACUUAAAGUUUAAGUUUCAAUUUUAUCUGUUUCGCAGCAUUUCAGCUGAAGUUCUUUGAUUUAAAUAGUGGGCGUGAGAUUCUUUCAUCACCAAAGUUCCGGUCAUGUUUUUUUAGAUAGAGUAAAUUAUUUGUGCGGAUCUGGGAACACCAUGGAUCCAACGAACUCUAUCUCAGAGGGAGUUUUUGCAUUCAAUCCAAAACCAAAAAAGAAUGCAAAAAAUAAAAAAGCACCGAAUGAAUUCGCCUUCUUCAAACACAAUGACUGGUAUAAGUCGUUCGAUUCUGUUUGGAGUGAGAUUCUCCAAAAAGUUGUCGUGGAAGAAAACAAAAUCACAUCUGAGCUCCAGUCAAAAGUCAAUAAGUUUGCUCACUCAGCCGAAUCAAGCACUGACACCAUUCCCACUAUAAUUAUGCUCACAGGAGUGAAUCUGUCCGACCACAAGCAAUUGUUCGAAAAUAUUGAUUCUUACAUUUUAAACAACUCAAAAUCAUUCACAGCAACUUUAUGGGCUGACAAAUGCACAAACAUUCGCAACAUGAUUGAGAAUCUCGUGUACCAGAUUGAAACUACCGGGGUGAACCAGAUUCAGAGGUACGGUGGUUUUUGAACUUAAAACUGAAUGUUCUCUUUUGAAUUUAUGUGUCUUUUAUUUACGCCUCAUUAAAUUGCAGCUCGUAAAGUGGUGUACGCUCCAUUCAAUGUUUCAGGCACAUUGCAUUUCACUAACCGUAAGAUGUAAACCAUGUAAUAUUUUCUGUACACUUUUUUUAUUUUUUUCAAAUAAAGACUGGAACAUCUAGGAAAGGAGAGUUAUUGCAAUGCUAAAUAAGACUCAAUGGGAUUAGAGAAUCUCAAAGAAAAAUAAGCAA